GGCAGUAAAAGUCGUAACAAGGAUUCCGUAGGUGAACCUGCGGAAGGAUCAUUAUCAUGUAAUUCAGUCCCCUUGGCUGUGUUAUAUAUAUACCCACUCUGUGUACCUUCUCCUGUUGCUUCCGCUGGGUGUGUAAUUCGCCCGGCGGAAGGGUAAAAAUAACCUCUGAGUAUUGAUGAAAUCUCUGUCUGAACCGAAUAGAAAGAAAAAUGUUAAAACUUUCAGCAACGGAUCUCUUGGUUCUC
rnacentral:misc_RNA from 1 species